GUGGUCCUACGGGGGGCAGCAGUGAGGAAUAUUGGUCAAUGGGCGGGAGCCUGAACCAGCCACGCCGCGUGAGGGAAGAAGGUACAGCGUAUCGUAAACCUCUUUUGUCAGGGAACAAAGGCGGGGACUAGUCCCCGGAUGAGGGUACCUGAAGAAAAAGCAUCGGCUAACUCCGUGCCAGCAGCCGCGGUAAUACAGAGGUCUCAAGCGUUGUUCGGAAUCACUGGGCGUAAAGCGUGCGUAGGCUGUUUCGUAAGUCGUGUGUGAAAGGCGCGGGCUCAACCCGCGGACGGCACAUGAUACUG
rnacentral:rRNA from 1 species